AUGCAGUCGAGCGGAUGAGAGGAGCUUGCUCCUUGAUUUAGCGGCGGACGGGUGAGUAAUGCCUAGGAAUCUGCCUGGUAGUGGGGGAUAACGUCCGGAAACGGGCGCUAAUACCGCAUACGUCCUACGGGAGAAAGCAGGGGACCUUCGGGCCUUGCGCUAUCAGAUGAGCCUAGGUCGGAUUAGCUAGUUGGUGAGGUAAUGGCUCACCAAGGCGACGAUCCGUAACUGGUCUGAGAGGAUGAUCAGUCACACUGGAACUGAGACACGGUCCAGACUCCUACGGGAGGCAGCAGUGGGGAAUAUUGGACAAUGGGCGAAAGCCUGAUCCAGCCAUGCCGCGUGUGUGAAGAAGGUCUUCGGAUUGUAAAGCACUUUAAGUUGGGAGGAAGGGCAUUAACCUAAUACGUUAGUGUUUUGACGUUACCGACAGAAUAAGCACCGGCUAACUUCGUGCCAGCAGCCGCGGUAAUACGAAGGGUGCAAGCGUUAAUCGGAAUUACUGGGCGUAAAGCGCGCGUAGGUGGUUCGUUAAGUUGGAUGUGAAAGCCCCGGGCUCAACCUGGGAACUGCAUCCAAAACUGGCGAGCUAGAGUACGGUAGAGGGUGGUGGAAUUUCCUGUGUAGCGGUGAAAUGCGUAGAUAUAGGAAGGAACACCAGUGGCGAAGGCGACCACCUGGACUGAUACUGACACUGAGGUGCGAAAGCGUGGGGAGCAAACAGGAUUAGAUACCCUGGUAGUCCACGCCGUAAACGAUGUCAACUAGCCGUUGGGUUCCUUGAGAACUUAGUGGCGCAGCUAACGCAUUAAGUUGACCGCCUGGGGAGUACGGCCGCAAGGUUAAAACUCAAAUGAAUUGACGGGGGCCCGCACAAGCGG
rnacentral:rRNA from 1 species